UACGUAGGGGGCAAGCGUUGUCCGGAUUUAUUGGGCGUAAAGAGCGUGUAGGCGGCUAGAUAGGUCCGUUGUGAAAACUCGAGGCUCAACCUCGAGACGUCGAUGGAAACCAUCUGGCUAGAGUCCGGAAGAGGAGAGUGGGAUUCCUGGUGUAGCGGUGAAAUGCGCAGAUAUCAGGAAGAACACCCGUGGCGAAGGCGGCUCUCUGGUACGUGACUGACGCUGAGACGCGAAAGCGUGGGGAGCGAACAGG
rnacentral:rRNA from 1 species